ACACAGAGAGGACUAGGUUUACACUGAGAGGACUAGAGGUUUACACAGAGAGGACUAUAAGUUUACACUGAGAGGACUAUAGGCUUACACAGAGAGGACUAGAGGUUUACACACAGAGGACUAUAGGUUUACACUGAGAGUACUAUAGGUUUACACUGAGAGGAAUAUAGGUUUACACAGAGAGGACUAUCAGUUUACACUGAGAGGGCUAUAGGUUUACACAGAGAGGACUAUCAGUUUACACUGAGAGGGCUAUAGGUUUACACAGAGAGGACUAUCAGAUUACACUGAGAGGACUAUAGGUUUACACUGAGAGGACUAUAGGUUUACACAGAGAGGACUAGAGGUUUACACUGAGAGGACUAGGUUUACACUGAGAGGACUAUCGGUUUACACUGAGAGGACUAUCAGUUUACACUGAGAGGACUAUAGGUUUACACUGAGAGGACUAUAGGUUUACACUCGUCCGUUUGUCAACACAUCACGUUGUCUAGGGCAUGUUCUUUUUAUCUUGUCCCCUACGAUUUCAUUGGAAAGACCUCCCUCAACAUAAUUUACAUCUACGGCCUAUACGUCUAUACGUACUGCCUGAAAUUGUGAUUUAGACAAUCACAGCGGAGAGAUGAAAGAGUGUAAGGUACUGAAAUAAGGUAGGCUUCCUGUAGGGUUAUGUGUCUUCGUUGAGUUUUACUAGUAAAACUGAAGACAAAUUGCUCUUUCCGUCAUAGUUUCUCUUUUGAGCAAGGCUCUACUGGGCUUAAAACAAAACUCUUCUGACCAGUUUGAUCAUUAUCAUCCUUUUUGUUAGAUAACCAUGAUGUAAGAGUGAAUAUCUGUUGUAGCUUACCUUCUACCUAAUCCACAGGGCCACCAUCUGUAUUUCAUGUCAAUUAUUUACAGUCUGACAUCACAAUGAUGCCUUUAAGUCUUUGUGUUAAUUGAUUCAUUCUGAUGCCAAAAUUGGCAAUAUUCCAUUAAUGAUUACGCAAAAAUGACAAAAAGGUCUCUGUUUUUGCUUUAUGUAUAACAUGGUAGUCAUGUGAGCAAUUGUGAUGUGCACUAAACAUCUUUUAUAUUUUGUCUGAGAAUAUUUGGCAACAUUUUCUGUUUAAAAAAUGGAAGUCAUUGCCCUUCAAACAAAUACCUGUAUACAAUGUAUAGUGAGCACUUUUAAUGCAUGAAAUUUGAACCAUGUACAGUGUACCAGGAAAAUUGUAAGUGAACAGUUUUACAGCGAGAAAUAAAAAUGUGAUAGAAUAUUGUACUAUGAAUACAACAUGUAUUUAUGGAGUGUUACCUGUCAUACAUAAGCCUUAGGUGUUUGUUUGAUAUUUUAAAAUAUGUGUCGCUAAAUAUUCCACUCUUGAAGUCGUAACAUGAACGUAUAUGCCAUCUAUCAGGGGCAAUUUCAUAUUGAGAGUACUAGCACACAGGCAGAUUUAAAAAAAAAAAACAUUUUCA